GAUGAACGCUGGCGGCGUGCCUAAUACAUGCCAGUCGAGCGAACGGACGAGAAGCUUGCUUCUCUGAUGUUAGCGGCGGACGGGUGAGUAACACGUGGAUAACCUACCUAUAAGACUGGGAUAACUUCGGGAAACCGUAGCUAAUACCGGAUAAUAUUUUGAACCGCAUGGUUCAAAAGUGAAAGACGGUCUUGCUGUCACUUAUAGAUGGAUCCGCGCUGCAUUAGCUAGUUGGUAAGGUAACGGCUUACCAAGGCAACGAUGCAUAGCCGACCUGAGAGGGUGAUCGGCCACACUGGAACUGAGACACGGUCCAGACUCCUACGGGAGGCAGCAGUAGGGAAUCUUCCGCAAUGGGCGAAAGCCUGACGGAGCAACGCCGCGUGAGUGAUGAAGGUCUUCGGAUCGUAAAACUCUGUUAUUAGUGAAGAACAUAUGUGUAAGUAACUGUGCACAUCUUGACGGUACCUAAUCAGAAAGCCACGGCUAACUACGUG
rnacentral:rRNA from 1 species